UACGGAGGGUGCGAGCGUUGUCCGGAAUCACUGGGCGUAAAGGGCGCGUAGGUGGCCUGUGGAAGUCUGCGGUGAAAGCCCGGCGCUCAACGCCGGGUCGGCCGUGGAUACUCUCGGGCUCGAGCUUACUAGAGGCAGAUGGAAUUCCGGGUGUAGCGGUGGAAUGCGUAGAGAUCCGGAAGAACACCGGUGGCGAAGGCGGUCUGCUGGGGUAAUGCUGACACUGAUGCGCGACAGCGUGGGGAGCGAACAGG
rnacentral:rRNA from 1 species